rnacentral:rRNA from 1 species
GACAGAGGAUGCAAGCGUUAUCCGGAAUGAUUGGGCGUAAAGAGCUCGUAGGCGGUUUGUCGCGUCUGCUGUGAAAACCCGAGGCUCAACCUCGGGCCUGCAGUGGGUACGGGCAGACUAGAGUGCGGUAGGGGAGAUUGGAAUUCCUGGUGUAGCGGUGGAAUGCGCAGAUAUCAGGAGGAACACCAAUGGCGAAGGCAGAUCUCUGGGCCGUAACUGACGCUGAGGAGCGGAAAGCAUGGGGAGCGAACAGG